AACGAACGCUGGCGGCAGGCCUAACACAUGCAAGUCGAGCGGAUCCUUCGGGAUUAGCGGCGGACGGGUGAGUAACGCGUGGGAAUAUGCCCUUCUCUACGGAAUAGCCUCGGGAAACUGAGAGUAAUACCGUAUACGCCCUUUGGGGGAAAGAUUUAUCGGAGAAGGAUUAGCCCGCGUUGGAUUAGGUAGUUGGUGGGGUAAUGGCCUACCAAGCCUACGAUCCAUAGCUGGUUUGAGAGGAUGAUCAGCCACAUUGGGACUGAGACACGGCCCAGACUCCUACGGGAGGCAGCAGUGGGGAAUUUUAGACAAUGGGGGCAACCCUGAUCUAGCCGUGCCGCGUGAGUGAUGAAGGCCUUAGGGUUGUAAAGCUCUUUCAGCUGGGAAGAUAAUGACGGUACCAGCAGAAGAAGCCCCGGCUAACUCCGUGCCAGCCGCCGCAGUAA
rnacentral:rRNA from 1 species